rnacentral:tRNA from 2 species
UUAAUUGAAGCCAAAAUAGAGGCAAAUUAUUGUUAAUAAUUAAACUGAAUUAUUAAUUUUCCAAUUAAA